GUCUUUUUGGUAUAUUAAUAUAAAGUCUGACCUGCCCACUGAUAAAUUCAUUAAAGGGCCGCAGUAUUUUGACUGUGCAAAGGUAGCAUAAUCAUUAGUCUUUUAAUUGGAGGCUGGUAUGAAUGGUUGGAUGAGAUACAUGCUGUGUCAUAUAAAAUUAAUAAUUGAAUUUAACUUUUUAGUCAAAAGGCUAAAAUAUUAUUAAAAGACGAGAAGACCCUAUAGAGCUUUAUAUAAAAAAUAUUUAAUUUAUUUAGAUUUUUUAUAUUUAAUUAUUAUUUUAUAUUUUGUUGGGGUGACAAUAAAAUUUAUAAAACUUUUAUUUUUUAUCUACAUUAAUUUAUGGUUAAAUGAUCCAGUUUUAUUGAUUAUAAAAUUAAGUUACCUUAGGGAUAACAGCGUAAUUUUUUUUGAGAGUUCUUAUCGACAAAAAAGAUUGCGACCUCGAUGUUGGAUUAAGAGUAAUUUUGGGUGUAGAAGUUCAAAUUUUAAGUCUGUUCGACUUUUAAAUUCUUACAU
rnacentral:rRNA from 1 species